UUUUUAUGGAGAGUUUGAUCCUGGCUCAGGACGAACGCUGGCGGCGUGCCUAAUACAUGCAAGUCGAGCGGAUCUCAGGGAGCUUGCUCCCUGAGAUCAGC
rnacentral:rRNA from 1 species